UCCUCAUGUCCUGAUCCCUUUGCCUUCUCCAGGUUUUGUUCCAGCCUGUGCUCUGGCUCACUGCAAAUACACCAGGCCACGCCUGAGACUUUUUGGUUGUUACUGGUUGCUUCUGCUUUCUUCUUCCCUUUUUUUUCCCUUUCUCUCCUGCUAAUGCAGUCACUUCCCUGAAGUGGCUGAGGUUGUUAUUCCUGCCAAGGGAAGGAGGGCACACAGAGCCUUCUGUGCACAGAGCGCUCGCCUUGGCCCAGGCACAAAUGGGAGCUUUUCUUUCCUCUUGUUCAGAAGGCACCAAUAAUGAGGUGCUUGGCCAUGGAAACUGGAACCGCUUCAGCUUCUGCAAGAAGGACUCACUGUUUGCAGGCUCAGCGUUAUUUCCCACAGCACACGGCUGGUUUUGAAUCACACACCAGGAUCUGGGAAGGAAAGAGGAGGAGAGAGGGGGAGUCCUUCACCAAAACCCCAUUCUGCCUCUUGGAGUGCUUCUCAUUCUGGCAGUGCUCUAUGUUAGACUGGUCUUGUUCAGAAGUUGGUCCUGGAAGUCUGAGAGAGUGGAGAAGAAAUCCUGUCCAGCUCAUCAUGGUAGAGUGGGAUAGGAGGGUGAUGUCUCUUGCUACCCUGCUGCCUUUCCCCCUUGCUUUUUAAGGUUCAUAGUAUCUGGGCAGCUUUCUGCUUGAACCAUGCUUUUCCAGGCUCACCCAAGAAUGUAGGAUCUAAGAUAUUCUGAAAAUCCCACUUGUGUUCUACUUGCCAUGGGCAUACCAGAAUGCUGUGGUGAACCUCUGCCUCUGGUAUGGCUUAGCAGAGGGCCAUGUAUCCAGAAAUGAGUUGGGCCACAGAAAAUAAGGGAUUUAACCCUUGCUGGGUGUGUUACAGUGAGGGUCCCCUGAAUCUGGAAAAGAAGGAAUGAUGAAGAGAAGAAGGAAUGAUCAAAACAUGGGCACUUGGAGACCUGGAAACCACCAUGGCACUGGCCUCUUGUCAUAACCCAGGUUCUUUUCUUUUAGCCUGACUCCUGCUUCCUAGAGAGACUAGCAGGCAGAGGCUUCUAGCAUAUAUCCAUGUCUGGGCACAUGGAUUGUGUGUGAAGACAGCUGGAAGGCUGGGACAGAUGUAAAUGUCUGAUCUGCUCCGUGGUACAGGCUGCAGUGAAUGAUCACGCUGCUGGCUGCAGCAGUGGAGCUGCAUGGGGGGGUCGGGAGAACAGUGGGACUGUGGGGCAGGGCUGGGCUGGCAUCACAAUCACCCCUCGCUCAGGGGCUGUCCAUCCCUUCCUGCCAAAAGGAGCUUUCUUAGCACCUUGUUCUCGCACCUGUGAGCCUCUAUUCGACAGCCUGGAAAAUUAAUACCCUGCCAAGGUGGGUGGCUGCGCUUCCAUCACGUCAGAGCAGCUUCCACAGCUGUUUGUGGCAGUACAUGAAAAGAUCACAGUGCACAGACUGUUAAUUUUUCAGAUUGCCUGAGAUGCUGUGCAGAACUUUAUGCUGCCUAUCGAUCAGUAUUGUGGUGGUUCUGUAAUUGAAGGGCCUUAAAUGAAUAGUGUGGAUAAGUGGAACUAAAGGCAUUAUAUUGUUUCACAGCCCCAAGGAAAAUCUUUGAGCCUUAUGUUUGUGUUCCCUGUAUAAUACAGCACUUAAAUAAAUACUUGGGUUGUCUUUCUAAACUGGAUCCAGGUGCAAGGCUCACUUAAUUGAAUGUGUCUUUUCAUCUCCACCAAGGCUCUCCCCAGGUUUACCUCUAAUCUUAUCUUGGUGAUUAUACUCAGGUGAUUGCCAUCACCUCCAGCACACAGCUCCAGUGUGGCACCUUGCCAAAGGCAUCGGCAGCAGCUGGGUGGGUCUGACCAGGUGUUGGUGUCCCUGUGCUUCUGGCCACGUUAUUCCUGCCCUGGGAGCUGCCUCAGCAGAGGAGCUGCCAAAUUUGCUUGUGUGCCUUUGGUGGCACUUUUGAAGGGCACAGCCCUUAUGUGAGGGUGCUGAGGGCAAAACUUGCCCCCAGCUCAUUUUGAAAGCAGUUGAUGACCACCAUCCACCUGUGUGUUUAUUUUAGUGAGCACUGCCAGGUGUGCUGUCACCAUCUCACCUGACCCUGAUUAAUUACUUAUUUAUAUUACUUGAAUUCUUCUGCCAAGAAAAUGAUGGGGCAGUGAAAAAAAAUGCAGCAUUACAAACAUGCAAAGGUACAGGGAGUGAAGUGUGUGAUUCCCACAGCAAUGGGGUGAGGCUGGAGAGGAAAACCAUCACUGAGGAUAGGACUGGGAAUUGCUACUUCCCAGUAACUAUGACACUGCCUCACUCCGUGCCCUUGGUCAAAUCACUUACUGCUGGUCUCUGUUUCUACACCCCUUCAAAUGUGUGCCCUGACACAGUGGGAAUGAAUAAUUUAUUCACACGUGAUGUAUGACAUGUCCUGGUCCUGGGUGCUGCUGUUAAUGAAGAACAAAUGAGAUUAAUUCCUUAUUUUGCAGUGCUGAAGUUUCAUGUGUAAAGUGUUCUGAAUUCAGAGAGUAUUCCAUAUGUUGUCAUAUGUUCCUGUUUUAUUACUGCAUGUAUGGAGGUCUCUGAUGCUGUGGCAACAAGGACUAAAGUGCUUGACACUUUAAUAUUUUAGUCAUGGAAUUAGCUAAUCAAUUUUUAGACUGUAUGUGUUGUUUAAGAUGAAAAGGCAGUAAACUCAAGUGAUAACUGAAGACUAGAAACCUCUUUGAAAUAUCACAGUGAACUUAAAUAAACCUAAAGGCUAAUACUCAACUUUCUUUACUCCAACUGCAGUCGAAAUAGGUGUGUCUGGUUUGCCUUCUAUUUGCUAAACCAUUCUGUUGAUUCAGCAGAUGAAAUAACAGAAGUUUCCUCCAGUGCCCAGUGCAGUAACUCCAGCCACGGUGCACAUGUGAGGGUGUCACAGACACAGGGCUGCAAGAGGACGAGCUGGGGAGGGGGUCCUGCGAGAAGGGGUGGAUAUUAUCAGCUCACAGACUCUGGAGAUGUUGGCUCCUGCCUUGCCUGUUUGUCGCCCUCCUGCUCGGCAAAAGGCAGCGCCUGGUGCGUCCCUGCCUUCCCUUUGCGUGCCUGGCAUCCUCGGCAAGUCCUCAGCCAUCCUGAGAUGAGGCAGCCUCCUCCCGUUACUGGGCAUCUGAAGGUAAACCAUAGUUUUAGAUGCUGUUAUUAAUAACGUGAUCAUGAUAAGGUGGUUCCCAUACCCACUAUGGAGAAUUAAGCCGGAUGGACAGCUCUGGGAGCGAGUUCCACUCCCGGGCUCCGGCCGAGCCGUGCGCGGGGGAUGGCACCCGACCGGCCCCGUCCCCAUUGUCCCCUCCCCGCCGGCCCGGCCCGGC
rnacentral:lncRNA from 13 species